rnacentral:pre_miRNA from 1 species
AGGAGGAACAGCCCCAGUGGCGGGGCCAGCUCUGGAAACCUGGAUUCAGCCCCCGCAGGAACUCCGUCUGCAGGGCCUGGAGGCUCCGGGGCGGG